UUGGGUGCAUUGGACACAAUACACAAAGCUCUGUUUUCUUCGACAAAAUUCCACAGUAUUCUGGACAUCUGUGUUGGUGAAUCUUUUGCAAUUUGUUUAAUGAACAAUGGAGGCUGCAAAGAAGAACGUUGUAGAAGACGCCUAGCUGAUGCUUGCCACCAAACCCACAGAUGAAGUCCUUCGUCGCGCCGUUGAUCGCUGGAACGCAGGCCAAAAGUCCUUCCCAAGUUUCGAAUGGAACCAAGGGGCCAGUCUGGUGUCAUUCCCGAGGUCGAUCAUCUGCAACUUGAGCUAUCCAGGCUCAACUUUAAUUUCCCGCACACGUUUGUACGGAACGCACCAUCCACUACUGCCCGGUAAGCGAAAGUGGGCCAAAUGUAUUUUUAUUCAAUAUUCCUGUCAGCAUGCCCCAAAAGAAACCUUGUAAAAAGGUUAUGAGCGUUCAAAUAAUUUUUUAGCAGGGGUCUCAAACUUUUGUGGCCCUCUACUUAACUUCCUGCUCUUGUGUGGUUGAGGCCCGCGCGUGCGGGGGCAGACGAUAGUUAACUACAUUGUGACAAUCUUGAAUCCAAGUAUAACGAACUCUCAUGGGGCUGUUUGCAACUUGCUCGUAAGUAAGAUUUGAAAAACCAAUAAAAUAAUAAACAACACAAAGAGCAACUUCCAGUCAGCAAGCGGAAGUGUCUCCUGCCAUGUAUUUGAACUAAACAGUGUCAAAAAUAACAAGUUAACUCACGUGAUUAAUCACAAAAAAUGUUGGCAUAAGUGGUGUAUACACGCAGAUUAAUGGUCACACUAGUUAUUUGAACUGCUCCUUUACCUAAACCGCAGAGCAGGUUGUUUUUGUGAUCAGGUCCGUGCAAAGAUGAGUGAGGAGACUCCGACUGGUGUACUCGCUGGCAAGUUUGACUCAGACGGACUUUAGAAGAAACUGUUGCCACAUUUUAAUAUGAAAAAUUGUGGUGCAUUCAAGUAACAAUAAAAAAAAUGGUCCUGUAUGACAUUCUGACAAUAAAAUUGCAUUUGUAUCCAGAUAAUGGGCCCCUUUUUUAAGUUUGUUUAAAUUAUGCAAGCGAGUAAUAACCUGUGAUUAAUCAUGAUUAAUCCACAUUCGAAAGUGUGAUUAAUCUGAUUUAAAAAUGGCCUCUUUAAGUUAAUUUAAAUCAUGCAAAAGUGAGUACCUGUGAUUAAUCAUGAUGAAUCCAAACUGGAAAGUGUGAUUAAUCUGAUUUAAAAAUGGGCUCUUUUUUUAUUCAUUUAAAUUACGCCAGCGAGUAUUGUGAUUAAUCAUGACUAAUCCUAAUUCAAAAGGGUAAUUCAUCUGAUUUAAAAAUGGGCUCAUUAAUUUAAUUAAAGCAAACCAGUAAUAGCCUGUGAUUAAUCAAAAAGUGUAAUUAAUCUGAUUUUUAAAAUGUACUCUUUUUUUAAAGUCCAUUUAAAUUAUGCCAACGAGUAUUGUGAUUAAUCAUGAUUAAUCCAAAUUCAAAAGUGUAAUUAAUCUGAUUUAAAAAAUUGGCUCUUUUUUAAGUUGAUUCAUGUUAUACAAGCAAGUAAUGACCUGUGAUUAAUCAUGAUUAAUCCAAAUUCAAAAGUGUGAUUAAUCUGGUUUAAAAAUGGGUUCUUUAAAUUAAGCAAGAAAGUAGUGAUCUGCGUUCAAAGAACUCCGGCUUAUUAGUGAUUCCCAGAGCCAAAAAAAAGUCUGCGGGCUAUAGAGCGUUUUCUAUUCGGGCUCCAGUACUCUGGAAUGCCCUCCCGGUAACAGUUAGAGAUGCUACCUCAGUAGAAGCAUUUAAGUCCCAUCUUAAAACUCAUUUGUAUAAUCUAGCCUUUAAAUAGACCCCCCCUUUUUUAGACCAGUUGAUCUGCCGUUUCUUUUCUUCUCUCCUCUUCUCCCCUGUCCCUUGCGAGGGGGAGUUGCAUAGGUCCGGUGGCCAUGGAUGAAGUGCUGGCUGUCCAGAGCCGGGACCCCGGGUGGACCACUAGCCUGUGCAUCGGUUGGGGACAUCUCUGCGCUGCUGACCCGUCUCCGCUCGGGAUGGUUUCCUGUUGGCCCCGCUGUGGACUGGACUCCCGCUGAUGUGUUGGAUCCACUGUGGACUGGACUUUUACAAUGUUAUGUCAGACCCACUCGACAUCCGUUGCUUUCGGUCUCCCCUAGAGGGGGGGGGUUACCCACAUAUGCGGUCCUCUCCAAGGUUUCUCAUAGUCAUUCACCGACGUCCCACUGGGGUGAGUUUUUCCUUGCCCGUAUGUGGGCUCUGUACCGAGGAUGUCGUUGUGGCUUGUACAGCCCUUUGAGACACUUGUGAUUUAGGGCUAUAUAAAUAAACAUUGAUUGAUUGAUUGAUUGAAGUAACAACCUGUGAUUAAUCAUGAUUAUCCAAAUUCAAAAGUGUGAUUAAUCUGAUUUAAAAAUUGGCUCUUUAAUUCAAGCAAGCCAGUAAAAACCUGUGAUAAAUCAUGAUUAAUCCAAAUUUAAAAGUGUUAUGAAUCUGAUUUUUAGAAUGGGCUCUUUUUUAAGUUCAUUUAAAUUACGCCAGCGAGUAUUGUGAUUAAUCAUCCAUCCAUUUUCUACCGCGUGUCCCUUUUUUUAAGGGUGUACCCCGCCUACCGCCCGAAUGCAGCUGUGAUAGGCUCCAGCACCCCCGCGACCCUGAAAUGAUCAAUCCAAUUUCAAAAGGGUAAUUAACCUGAUUUAAAAGUGGGAUCUUUAAUUUAAUUAAAGCAAACUAGUAAUAACCUGUGAUUAAUCAUGAAUAAUCCAAAUUUAAAAGUAAUUAAUCAGAUUUUUAAAAUUGGCUCUUUUUUAAAGUAAAUUUAAAUUAUGCCAACGAGUAUUGUGAUUAAUCCAAAUUCAAAAGUGUAAUUACUCUAAUUUAAAAAAUGGGCUCUUUUUUAAGUUAAUUCAUGCUAUAGAAGCAAGUGAUUAAUCAUGAUUAAUCCAAAUCCAAAAGUAUGAUUAAUCUGAUUUAAAAUGGGCUCUUUAAUUCAAGCAAACCAGUUAUAACCUGUGAUUAAUCAUGAUUAAUCCAAAUUUAAAAGUGUAAUGAAUCUGAUUUUUAAAAUGGGCUCUUUUUUAAGUUCAUUUAAA